UUCUGCAUCUUAAAUACCUUAUUUUUUUGCAUCUUAAUUGGUACUGAAAUUUUGUUUGUUUCAGUGGAAGAGGCACUAUCAGCAUUGACAUGUACAUGUGAUUUUAAGCAAGAACCAGGAGAGUGAGAGUUUUAGUGUGCCGUAUUUAGAAUUUGCCGAUAUCUUUUUCCCGUUUCAGCAAGUAUUCCUGAUAGUGGGGAUUCUUCCAGUAAUGCUAGAUAUUGGUUCUAACAACGAGAAGUUACUUAAUGAUCCUCUUUGAUUUAUUGGAGUUGAGGAGUCCCACAAUCUUUAUGUUCUGUUUGUUUCUCCAUCACUUUUUCAAGGCUGUUCAAUUGGAGUUCCAUCUUCAGGUUGACAUGAUUGUCUUGACAGAUGGAAGUCGUAUUCUUGGCCUCGGUGACCUUGGAGUUCAGGGAAUAGGAAUACCUAGAUUGGAGGGAGAAGAGUAUCUAUCAAUUGUUGAUGAUUUUAUGGAAGCCGUGCAUACAUGUUGGCCUAAAGCUAUUGUUCAGUUUGAGGAUUUUCAAAUGAAAUGGGCUUUUGAAACAUUACAACGUUAUCGUAAGAGGUUCUGCAUGUUCAACGAUGACAUACAAGGAACUGCUGGUGUUGCUCUCGUUGGACUAUUGGGAACUGUGAGAGCUCAAGGGCGGCCAUUGAGUGAUUUUGUUAACCAAAAGAUAGUAGUGGUAGGGGCUGGAAGUGCAGGGCUCGGUGUUCUUAACAUGACUAUUCAGGCUGUUUCGAGAAUGGCAGGGAACAACGAUUCUAGUUUACUUUAUCAAAAACAAAGAAGAAAAGGAAGGGACCACAAGAAAUCAAUGGUGGAAUCGAUCAGGCAGGGUGUGGAAAAUUACAACUCAGUUUUUGUUUUCACUGUUGAGAACAUGAGAAACCUCAAGUUCAAGGAACUCAGGGAGCAGCUGAAGUCAGCUAGCAGGGUGGUACCUGUUCACCAAGAUCCAAGAGAGCUCGAGGGACUCAAUGAAGGAGCCAAUUUAUUAAAAGUGAUUUUUGUAGGCUGGAGGGAAGUUUUUGAAUUGCCUUCUGAAGGAGUGGGGUUGCAAUUUUUGGCGUCCUUUUUUAUGGAGCUUCUUUGACUUUUCUUUCUUUAUUUUGAGAUUUGUUCUGUUUUGAUUCCAUCAUGCCGUCUAAAGUUUUGGACUUGAAGGGUUUGUCUUCAUCUUCCUUCUUCUCCGACAAUUUACGUCAUACAAAUGAGUGUGGUGAGGACUUUCAUGUGACUGAAAGAUGUGUUUCUUCAAUGUUUAUGAACAACUAGUAACAUAUCAUGUUCUUCAUCAUCUGUGGAAAAGUUUUCAAUAUGUGAGUGCCUGCCAGAGAACUCCUUGGAAAAUCAUGAUUCAUUUCUUGUGAGAGACUAGAAUGCAAGUCUUAUCCUGAAUUGACAUGUUGGAGCUGAAAAAACAUCCAAUUAUUUUUCUCGAAGCAAUGAAGUCAAUAUGAUGAAUUCUCAGUAUGAGAGUAGUCUUUUCUCAAGUUCUUUAUCAAAUAUAUUUACUAGGAAGUGUAAGUUUCUUGAUUCUUUCCUCACAUAUUUGUACCUAAUAAGGAUAUGAACUUUCAAAUAAGUUCUAAAUGAGCCAGAUUAUAGCAAAUGGUUUUAGCCAA